AUGUCAUGGUGUGGACAUUCUCUUUAUAAGUCCUUGUAUCGCUCCCAUGCAUCAUAGAGUGAUUCACCUUCCCUUUGCUUAAAGGUAUUGAGUUCAAUCCUCAACUU